rnacentral:tRNA from 1 species
GGAGGGUUGCCGGAGCGGCCUAUCGGAACCGCCUUGAAAGCGGUCGUGGGGAGACCCACCGGGGGUUCAAAUCCCUCACCCUCUGCCA